GACAGAGGGUGCAAACGUUGUUCGGAAUUACUGGGCGUAAAGCGUGUGUAGGCGGUCCACUAAGUCGGGUGUGAAAGCCCUGGGCUCAACCCAGGAAGUGCACUCGAAACUGGCGGGCUAGAGUAUCGGAGAGGUUGGUGGAAUUCUCGGUGUAGAGGUGAAAUUCGUAGAUAUCGAGAGGAACACCGGUGGCGAAGGCGGCCAACUGGACGAAUACUGACGGCUGAGACACGAAAGCGUGGGGAGCAAACAGG
rnacentral:rRNA from 1 species